AACGAACGCUGGCGGCAUGCCUAACACAUGCAAGUCGAACGAACCCUUCGGGGUUAGUGGCGCACGGGUGCGUAACGCGUGGGAAUCCGCCCUUUGCUUCGGAAUAACAGUUAGAAAUGACUGCUAAUACCGGAUGAUGUCAUCGGACCAAAGAUUUAUCGGCAAGGGAUGAGCCCGCGUAGGAUUAGGUAGUUGGUGGGGUAAAGGCCUACCAAGCCGACGAUCCUUAGCUGGUCUGAGAGGAUGAUCAGCCACACUGGGACUGAGACACGGCCCAGACUCCUACGGGAGGCAGCAGUGGGGAAUAUUGGACAAUGGGCGCAAGCCUGAUCCAGCAAUGCCGCGUGAGUGAUGAAGGCCUUCGGGUCGUAAAGCUCUUUUACCAGGGAUGAUAAUGACAGUACCUGGAGAAUAAGCUCCGGCUAACUCCGUGCCAGCCGCCGCAGUAACAC
rnacentral:rRNA from 1 species